rnacentral:lncRNA from 1 species
CUUCUUUCAUGAUUUUGGAUUUUAUUUCUAUGCGAAAUUUGCAACUAAGUCAUGGUAUAGAAAAGACAGAAGCAUUCAAUAAACAUUUCCAUUUUAUAUUCAGAAACAUUCUGAAUGGGGAAUUUUUACGAGACAGAAAGUUCUUCAGGGACCUUCUUCAGUUACCUAACAUAUGGUAGUCACUAACUGCAGCACAAGCUCCUACAUUCAACUGGUGUUAGAAGUUAGCAUGGCCCUAGAGCCCUAGAAGCCAUCUUCUGUUUCUGUAAGAUGAACUACAGCCUGAAAGCCAGUGGGCAAUGCUUUUAAGAAGUGUGAAACUCACCAACACAAGUCCGCCCGUCUGCUGCAAACUGGUAUCCGUCAACACACUCGCAUCGGUACGUUCCCGGCUGGUUAUUGCAAACUGCAUUGCUGCCACAUAGACCCGGUUGCUCUGAACACUCAUCAAUAUCAUAACAAACGUUUCCAUCUCCACGGAAUCCAAUCGAACAUUCACAAGAGAAACGAUUCCCAGUUCCUGCACGACAUACUGCAUUGGUGUCACAGUUAUGGGUACCAGUGUAGCAAGGAUUCCGGCUAAUAUCAGCAGAACCAUCUGAAAAGAAAUACCGUAUUUAGCCAUGACAACU